rnacentral:rRNA from 1 species
CUACGGGCUGCUCCAGUGGGGAAUAUUGCACAAUGGAGGAAACUCUGAUGUAGCAACGCCGCGUGGAGGAUGACACUUUUCGGAGCGUAAACUCCUUUUAUAUAGGAAGAAGAUGACGGUACUAUAUGAAUAAGCGCCGGCUAACUCCGUGCCAGUAGCCGCGGUAAUACGGAGGGCGCAAGCGUUACUCGGAAUCACUGGGCGUAAAGAGCGUGUAGGCGGAUUAAAAAGUCAGAAGUGAAAUCCUAUAGCUUAACUAUAGAACUGCUUCUGAAACUCUUAAUCUAGAAUAUGGGAGAGGUAGAUGGAAUUUCUGGUGUAGGGGUAAAAUCCGUAGAGAUCAGAAGGAAUACCGAUUGCGAAGGCGAUCUACUAGAACAUUAUUGACGCUGAGACGCGAAAGCGUGGGGAGCAAACAGGAUUAGAUACCCUCGUAGUC